AACGAACGCUGGCGGCAGGCCUAACACAUGCAAGUCGAGCGGACAUCUUCGGAUGUUAGCGGCUGACGGGUGAGUAACGCGUGGGAACGUGCCCUUUGCUUCGGAAUAGCCUCGGGAAACUGGGAGUAAUACCGGAUGUACCCUUUGGGGGAAAGAUUUAUCGGCAAAGGAUCGGCCCGCGUUGGAUUAGGUAGUUGGUGGGGUAAUGGCCUACCAAGCCGACGAUCCAUAGCUGGUUUGAGAGGAUGAUCAGCCACACUGGGACUGAGACACGGCCCAGACUCCUACGGGAGGCAGCAGUGGGGAAUCUUAGACAAUGGGGGAAACCCUGAUCUAGCCAUGCCGCGUGAGAGAUGAAGGCCUUAGGGUUGUAAAGCUCUUUCACCGGGGAAGAUAAUGACGGUACCCGGAGAAGAAGCCCCGGCUAACUCCGUG
rnacentral:rRNA from 1 species